rnacentral:rRNA from 1 species
AUUGAACGCUGGCGGCAUGCUUUACACAUGCAAGUCGAACGGUAACAGGCCUUCGGGUGCUGACGAGUGGCGAACGGGUGAGUAAUGCAUCGGAACGUGCCCAGAGGUGGGGGAUAACGCAGCGAAAGCUGUGCUAAUACCGCAUGUGAUCUGAGGAUGAAAGCGGGGGACCAGGCAGCAAUGUUUGGCCUCGCGCCUUUGGAGCGGCCGAUGUCAGAUUAGGUAGUUGGUGGGGUAAAGGCCUACCAAGCCGACGAUCUGUAGCUGGUCUGAGAGGACGACCAGCCACGCUGGGACUGAGACACGGCCCAGACUCCUACGGGAGGCAGCAGUGGGGAAUUUUGGACAAUGGGCGCAAGCCUGAUCCAGCAAUGCCGCGUGCGGGAAGAAGGCCUUCGGGUUGUAAACCGCUUUUGUACGGAACGAAAAGGCUCUGGCUAAUACCUGGGGCUGAUGACGGUACCGUAAGAAUAAGCACCGGCUAACUACGUG